rnacentral:miRNA from 1 species
UCAGCGAUCCAGUUGCAUGCAAC